GAUUAACGCUGGCGGCGUGCAUAACACAUGCAAGUCGAACGAUGAAACUUAGUAGUCUUCUUUGGAAAGACACUAAGCGGCUUAGUGGCGAACGGGUGAGUAACGCGCGAGUAAACUGCCUUACACAAGGGGAUCACCUUUGGAAACGAAGAAUAAUACUCUAUAAAACCAUAAAAGCACAUGCUAGAAUGGUCAAAGUGCUAGCGGUGUGAGAUGAACUUGAGUCUGAUUAGCUAGAUGGUGAGAUAUAAGCUCACCAAGGCAACGAUCAGUAGCCGGCUUGGGAGCGCGGACCGCCACAUUGGGACUGAGACACGGCCCAGACUCCCACGGGAGGCAGCAGUGGGGAAGGUUGCACGAUGGGGGAAAGCCUGAUGCAUCGACACCGCGUGAUUUAGAAGGCCGUCGGGUUGUAAAAUUCUAGUAAAUAGGAAGAAAAUGACAGUACUAUACGAAAAAGGCCCGGCUAAUUACGUG
rnacentral:rRNA from 1 species